CCCUUAGACGUUCUGGGCCGCACGCGCGCUACACUGACCAGUGCAACAAGCAUCCGUCCUUGGCCGACAGGCGCGGGCAAUCUUUGAACGCUGGUCGUGAUGGGGAUAGACUUUUGCAAUUUUUGGUCUUCAACGAGGAAUUCCUAGUAAACGCAAGUCAUCAACUUGCAUUGAUUACGUCCCUGCCCUUUGUACACACCGCCCGUCGCACCUACCGAUUGAAUGGUCCGGUGAAGCCUCCGGAUUGGCGCGCACCUCGGUGCCGCCGAGAAGUUGGCUAAACCUUACCAUUUAGAGGAAGGUGAAGUCGUAACA
rnacentral:rRNA from 1 species